rnacentral:rRNA from 1 species
AUUGAACGCUGGCGGCAUGCUUUACACAUGCAAGUCGAACGGAUCUAGGGGCUUGCUCCUAGGUUAGUGGCGAACGGGUGAGUAAUGCAUCGGAACGUACCGUGUAGUGGGGGAUAACCUGGCGAAAGUCAGAUUAAUACCGCAUACGAUCUACGGAUGAAAGCGGGGACCUUCGGGCCUCGCGCUAUACGAGCGGCCGAUGUCGGAUUAGCUAGUUGGUGAGGUAAAGGCUCACCAAGGCGACGAUCCGUAGCGGGUCUGAGAGGAUGAUCCGCCACACUGGGACUGAGACACGGCCCAGACUCCUACGGGAGGCAGCAGUGGGGAAUUUUGGACAAUGGACGCAAGUCUGAUCCAGCCAUGCCGCGUGAGUGAAGAAGGCCUUCGGGUUGUAAAGCUCUUUUGUCAGGGAGCAAAUCCUGCCUGCUAAUACUAGGCGGGGAUGAGAGUACCUGAAGAAUAAGCACCGGCUAACUACGUGCCAGCCGCCGCCGUAAAAC